AUUGAACGCUGGCGGCAGGCCUAACACAUGCAAGUCGAGCGGAUGAAGGGAGCUUGCUCCUGUAUUCAGCGGCGGACGGGUGAGUAAUGCCUAGGAAUCUUCCUGGUAGUGGGGGAUAACGUCCGUAAACGGGCGCUAAUACCUCAUACGUCCUGAGGGAGAAAGUGGGGGAUCUUCGGACCUCACGCUAUCAGAUGAGCCUAGGUCGGAUUAGCUAGUUGGUGGGGUAAAGGCCUACCAAGGCGACGAUCCGUAACUGGUCUGAGAGGAUGAUCAGUCACACUAGAACGGUGACACGGUCCAGCCUACAACGGGAGGCAGCAGUGGGGAAUAUUGGAACAUGGGCGAAAGCCUGAUACAGCCAUGCCGCGUGUGUGAAGAGGGUCUUCGGAUUGUAAAGCACUUUAAGUUGGGAGGAAGGGCAGUAAGUUAAUACCUUGCUGUUUUGACGUUACCAACAGAAUAAGCACCGGCUAACUUCGUG
rnacentral:rRNA from 1 species